AAGUCGUAACAAGGUUUCCGUAGGUGAACCUGCGGAAGGAUCAUUAAUGAAGUCUGGGCUUCGGCCCUCUCUCUUCUACACACUUGUGAACUUACACUGUUGCUUUGGCAGGUUUCCCGGAGGACGAAAGUCCCGAGGGUCAGGUCGAGAGACGCCUGCCAGGGACACUUAUCCACCCUUUUUGAAUAGUCUGAUUAUUGUUUUAAACAAAUUAAAAUAAA
rnacentral:misc_RNA from 1 species